CACCUUCUGGUAUUCAUCAGACAGGAGCAACAGCUCAGCCACGUUCAACUCCACUGAGAGGAUCCUGCAGAGCUUGGUGAGACCCUGGUCCCAGCAGCUCCUGCUGGAUCCUUGUUCAAGAAGAGCAGCCUGGGCCCCUUCUCCUUGAGUGGCAGACUGGUCUCCCUCAGGCCUGAGAAGGAUGGGGCAGCCACCUGUGUGGACGCUGUCUGCACCCACCACCCUGACCCCGUGGGCCACCAUGCCUCUGUGCUGGGAGCUGAGAGUCUGCACCUGUCUGCUC